CCACGCAGCCGGGGCGUUAGUGCCGCCCUUUUCCCGUAGCUAUAUCGGGGGUGUUGGUUUGUUUCGGGCUUUCAGAUGACUGGCUGCCCUUGGUAAGUGGUGUUGACGUUCAGGUCUUACGCAAUAGGACCUGUGAACCGGGUCAGGUGGGGAACCAAGCAGCCCUAAGCAGCCAUCCUAUGUGCCGUAAGGGUGCCUAAGCUGAGCUAACUGCCAAGGUAACGCUUUCAUUGUUGGAAGUUCAACGCAAACUGCGUGG
rnacentral:SRP_RNA from 1 species